GCCGGGCGCGGUGGCGCGUGCCUGUAGUCCCAGCUACUCGGGAGGCUGAGGCUGGAGGAUCCCUUGAGUUCAGGAGUUCUGGGCUGUAGUGCGCUAUGCCGAUCGGGUGUCCGCACUAAGUUCGGCAUCAAUAUGGUGACCUCCCGGGAGCGGGGGACCACCAGGUUGCCUAAGGAGGGGUGAACCGGCCCAGGUCGGAAACGGAGCAGGUCAAAACUCCCGUGCUGAUCAGUAGUGGGAUCGCGCCUGUGAAUAGCCACUGCACUCCAGCCUGGGCAACAUAGUGAGACCCUGCCUCU
rnacentral:SRP_RNA from 1 species